rnacentral:rRNA from 1 species
GAUGAACGCUAGCGGCGUGCCUAAUACAUGCAAGUCGAGCGAAUGGAUUAAGAGCUUGCUCUUAUGAAGUUAGCGGCGGACGGGUGAGUAACACGUGGGUAACCUGCCCAUAAGACUGGGAUAACUCCGGGAAACCGGGGCUAAUACCGGAUAACAUUUUGAACCGCAUGGUUCGAAAUUGAAAGGCGGCUUCGGCUGUCACUUAUGGAUGGACCCGCGUCGCAUUAGCUAGUUGGUGAGGUAACGGCUCACCAAGGCAACGAUGCGUAGCCGAACUGGGAGGGUGAUCGGCCACACUGGGACUGAGACACGACCCAGACUCCUACGGGAGGCAGCAGUAGGGAGUCUUCCGCAAUGGACGAAAGUCUGACGGAGCAACGCCGCGUGAGUGAUGAAGGCUUUCGGGUCGUAAAACUCUGUUGUUAGGGAAGAACAAGUGCUAGUUGAAUAAGCUGGCACCUUGACGGUACCUAACCAGAAAGCCACGGCUAACUACGUGCCAGCCGCCGCCGUAA